rnacentral:rRNA from 1 species
AUUGAACGCUGGCGGCAUGCCUUACACAUGCAAGUCGAACGGUAACGCGGGCAACCUGGCGACGAGUGGCGAACGGGUGAGUAGUGCAUCGGAACGUGCCCAAUAGUGGGGGAGUAGCCCGGCGAAAGCCGGAUUAAUACCGCAUACGACCUAUGGGUGAAAGCGGGGGAUCGCAAGACCUCGCGCUAUUGGAGCGGCCGAUGUCAGAUUAGGUAGUUGGCGGGGUAAAGGCCCACCAAGCCUGCGAUCUGUAGCUGGUCUGAGAGGACGACCAGCCACACUGGGACUGAGACACGGCCCAGACUCCUACGGGAGGCAGCAGUGGGGAAUUUUGGACAAUGGGGGUAACCCUGAUCCAGCCAUGCCGCGUGCGGGAAGAAGGCCUCGGUUGUAACGU